CGCACGGUGCCUCAUUCUCGGUGAAGCUGCUGAAGAAGAAGCAACGUCUGAGUGGUCAUAUGUUGCCUAUGUCCCUUUUCCAGGAAACCGGAGAACCAGGAGAAAACCCACGCACACACACGUGGAAGAACGUGGAGACUCCGCUCAUGAGUCCAAACUGUCCGGAUGUCCCUCAGAGAUGUGCGCCAGCCUGACGGGACUCUGUGUUGAGAAUAUUCCAUAUUUACCGUAAACGUGAUUGCGCGGUAAGCACGAAACUUACCGUUUGUUGCUUGGUGGUCGAGGCUGUCUAAUUCCCCCACUUGCUGGCAUUGACCUAAACCCUGUAUG